rnacentral:rRNA from 1 species
UACGUAGGGGGCUAGCGUUGUCCGGAAUCAUUGGGCGUAAAGCGCGCGUAGGCGGCCCGGUAAGUCCGCUGUGAAAGUCAAAGGCUCAACCUUUGAAUGUCAGCGGAUACUGCAGGGCUAGAGUCCGGAAGAGGCGAGUGGAAUUCCUGGUGUAGCGGUGGAAUGCGCAGAUAUCAGGAGGAACACCAACGGCGAAGGCAGCUCGCUGGGACGGUACUGACGCUGAGGCGCGAAAGCGUGGGGAGCGAACAGG